rnacentral:rRNA from 1 species
GACGAACGCUGGCGGCGUGCCUAAUACAUGCGAGUAGAACGCUGAAGAGAGGAGCUUGCUCUUCUUGGAUGAGUUGCGAACGGGUGAGUAACGCGUAGGUAACCUGCCUGGUAGCGGGGGAUAACUAUUGGAAACGAUAGCUAAUACCGCAUAAAAUGGAUUAUCGCAUGAUAAUCCAUUGAAAGGUGCAAAUGCAUCACUACCAGAUGGACCUGCGUUGUAUUAGCUAGUUGGUGGGGUAACGGCUCAUCAAGGCGACGAUACAUAGCCGACCUGAGAGGGUGAUCGGCCACACUGGGACUGAGACACGGCCCAGACUCCUACGGGAGGCAGCAGUAGGGAAUCUUCGGCAAUGGACGGAAGUCUGACCGAGCAACGCCGCGUGAGUGAAGAAGGUUUUCGGAUCGUAAAGCUCUGUUGUAAGAGAAGAACGAGUGUGAGAGUGGAAAGUUCACACUGUGACGGUAUCUUACCAGAAAGGGACGGCUAACUACGUG